rnacentral:rRNA from 1 species
AAAGCGAUUCCCUUAGUAGUGGCGAACGAAAAGGGAAAAGCCCAGCGCAUAACCUCUCGGGCUACCAAGCCUGCAGCGGAAUGUUGCGUAAAGGGAAAGGUCGUGUACAAGUCCUGCAAGUGGCGUGGACCGAUAAGUCUGAGGAAUGAUCUUGCCCCGUCACCCGAAAGGGUGGAGCUUGGUUCCACAGAGGGUGACAGACCCGUGUCGACACGUGUUUCUGCUUGCAUUGGAUUCGGCUUUCUCAUUCCCUGAGAGUCGCGUUGCUUGAGAAUGCAGCGCUAAGCAGGUCGUAAACUCGACCUAAGGCUAAAUAUUGCCACGGAACCGAUAGUAAACAAGUACCGUGAGGGAAAGUUGAAAAGCACUCUGAAGAGAGAGUGAAAAGACCGUGAAACCGUUCAGAGUAUAAACCAAUGGAUUGGAACUGGGUGGCACUUGGGUGUGAG